rnacentral:rRNA from 1 species
GGGAAUCUUCCACAAUGGACGAAAGUCUGAUGGAGCAACGCCGCGUGAGUGAAGAAGGUUUUCGGAUCGUAAAACUCUGUUGUUGGAGAAGAAUGUAUCUGAUAGUAACUGAUCAGGUAGUGACGGUAUCCAACCAGAAAGCCACGGCUAACUACGUGCCAGCAGCCGCGGUAAUAA